CUUACAGCCGGCAGGGGAGGGAGAGGGAGGGAGAGAGGACCCGGGAGCUCAGGCUGCAGCUCCUCCGGGUCCUCCUCUCGCGAGAUUUGAAGCGUUGCCGCGGUUACCACGGCAACGCUCCAAAUCUCGCGAGAGUGAACUCUAGCCCUGGAGCGCGGGCUAGAGUUCACUCUCACCACCUGACCACCAAUGAAUCCCCCACCGGACCACCAGGGA